rnacentral:tRNA from 1 species
GUUCCUUUAGCUCAGUUGGUUAGAGCAGACAGCUCAUAACUGUCCGGUCGCUGGUUCAAGUCCAGCAAGGAGCA